CAGAGAUGGACAGACGACAUUAAUACUGAGGGGUCAGUGUGUGCGCAGGGGGCAGAUGACCAGAGGGGCCGCGUUUUUACCACCGUCAUUAAAACAAGGACUGAAGUACGGAUAGAGGGGCUCAGUGAAGGAGUCUGUGAAGGUGUAGAGGUGAGAGCGGGACUGGGCAUUGUAAAAGGAGACCUGACCUUCAUCAUAGUCCAGAAAGACCCCCACUGUCUGGGGCUUCACUCUCAGUGGGAGGGGGAGAGGACGGCCAAUG